AUACUUGCCAGUAAAAUUAAUAUAACAAUUACAAAUGAUAUUACUGAAAAAUGAUAACAGUAAAAUGGUAAUAUGAUUAUAUAUUAAUGUUACGUAAUGUUCUACUGUUUCUAUUUCUAUUAAAAUGGAAAACAUUCUGCCUGGUCCAGAAGAAUUUCCUCUUAUUGUGCUCGUUAUUGUGCUGCCUCGUAUAAGUGCUUAUUAUUUUCUUCGGCGGAGUUUCUGAUGUAUUUAAAUCGCUUGUACGUUACGGCAGACACGGUCGAUCCAAGCAGCUGUCAUCUAUGAAUCAUUCAAUCGAUUAUAGUUGCAACGAUAUUAAGCAACACUGAGCACAACGAAAAAAGUCGUGUGUAUGACGUGUUUCAUCCUUGGUUAAAUACAGGUCUCUUCACUAGCACAGCGAUUAAGUGGAAGUCGCGGCGAAGGAUGUUAACACCUGCAUUCCAUUUCAAUAUAUUGAAUAAAUUUGUUGAUAUCUUGAUCAAGGAGGGCGAUUGCUAUGUUGGAUCUUUUAAUAGCGGCAUCUCGAGAAAAUUCUCUAACUGAUUUGGAUAUCAGAGAAGAAGUCAACACUUUUAUAUUCGGAGGUCAUGAUACUACAGGGGCGAGUUUAAUGUUUAUUUUACUACUCCUAGCUGAACACAAAGAUAUCCAGGAGCGUGUAAGAGCUGAAGUCGAUACUGUGAUGCAAGAGAACGGAGGAAAACUUAACAUGAGAUUAUUACAAAAUUUAUCAUAUUUAGACAGAUGUUUAAAGGAAGCGAUACGAUUAUAUCGCUUCUUUUAAACAUCUGUCUAAAUAUGAUAAAUUUAUGAGCGUGAAUUUUAUAUUACGCAAGACUGGGAAUGUUGUAAAAUUACAAUCAUAUAUCGUACCCGUUGGAACGUCCAUACUUCUUAAUAUUUACGGAGUUCACAGAGAUCCUAAUUUUUGGCCAAAUCCAGAAGUGUAUGAUCCGGACAGAUUCUUACUCGAAAAGAGAAAGAAUCAUCAUCCUUAUUCUUAUAUACCAUUCAGUGCAGGAUCAAGAAAUUGCAUAGGUCAACGUCUCAGUUUGCUCAGGACGUAUUAUUAUAUCAAAUAAUAAAGGAAUAUUUUUUAAAUACUCAACAGGUUCCAAGUAUUAUGUAUUAAAGGGGCUAUCAUAGCUUUCAUCAUCAAGCUGAUGGUAAAAGCUAUGAUAGCCCCUUUGAUACAUAAUUUUAAGUUGGAACCUACUGAGUAUUUAAAAAAUAACGAGGAUAUUGCAAGAGUGUAACAAGAUGAUACAGUGGAUAAAAUCGAAAAAAAUUGUUAUGUAUAUUAUAUGUUCAACAUUAUGAGGAAAUAUUAUGUAUGUAAACAUUACAUUUAAUUAUGAAAAUAUUCACAAAGAAAAUCUUAGAAAUCAGAACUCUAUAUAUCCUAUAUAUACCCCAUAUUAAAUUUAACGUAUGUAAGGAUCCUUUAUCAUGUACAAUCGCAAUAAAAACGUUUAUCCAUAAAAUAUA